rnacentral:rRNA from 1 species
UGAGGAAUAUUGGUCAAUGGGCGCAAGCCUGAACCAGCCAUGCCGCGUGAAGGAAGAAGGUUCUAUGGAUUGUAAACUUCUUUUAUUUAGGAAUAAACCUCCCGACGUGUCGGGAGCUGAAGGUACUAAAUGAAUAAGCACCGGCUAACUCCGUG